AUUCAAACAGAUGCCAGCUUAACUUAAACACAUUAUGAAGAUUAUCAGGUACUCAUAGAAUCAAGAGAAAUCUGGAGGGCCAGCUCAGAACACACAGGAGCAAUCAGGUUAGGAGCCAAGAGUAGAGCCAGAGUCACAUGGUGGGAUGAAUAUCACAUUCUGAGGGACAUUGCAGCCACCACCUUGCUCCCUCCUCUGCUUCUAGCACCAGGCCUCCUGGCCCCAUCAGCUCUUCCAAGAACGAUCUCUCCAUUGGGAUACAACAUCUGUGCGUUGCUGAUUCAGAGCCCUAAAUAGGAGCUUCCAGUUGGUCUGGCCUACACUGUGCCCAGACUAGCUGCCAGGGAGCAGAAGAGAGAGUGUUGGUCUCCCUUGAGCUUGCAGAGGAAGUAGGCCUGCCUUCCAACAAACCCAUGCAGAAUCAAAUCCCCCCAGAUGAGUAG
rnacentral:lncRNA from 1 species